GGCGGUUCACACCAGUUCAGAAGUAAGGUAUCUUAAAUUGCACUCGACAAUGUUGUGAAUACUUUAAAAUGCUUGAAGCCAUACUUGAUGCCUUCCAUAACGUGUAAAGUAAGAAGUUAGCCUGUGUUAAAAAGUGGUGAUCCCUGCAGAUUACCAAGGCAUCCAGUCUCCCAGCAAGUGCCAAGAGGCAUUCAUUCAAUGCUCCGCUGACACCAAUUUGCCCAAAGAAUAUUUAUGUGGGAGACUCCUCAGAUUGUGGAGACCCCAGAUUGUGGAGGCUCCUGGGCAGCUGGUCUUUUUGUGGACUCCUAAAUCUGGCACUGAACAAAAUUCUCUCUCUCUCUCUCUCUCUCUCUCUCUCUCUCUCUCUCUCUCUCUCUCUCUCUCUCUCUCUCUCUCUCUCUCUCUCUCUCUCUCUCUCUCUCUCUCUCUCUCUCUCUCUCUCUCUCUCUCUCUCUCUCUCUCUCUCUCUCUCUCUCUCUCUCUCUCUCUCUCUCUCUCUCUCUCUCUCUCUCUCUCUCUCUCUCUCUCUCUCUCUCUCUCUCUCUCUCUCUCUCUCCUCAACUCUCAACCACUGGAUGGUAUAUCAGUUCACACAGCAAGAAGCCAAGGACCCACCGAGGCUGUCACUUGGAAGAGGUCAUUGUUGUUGCAUCCAGCAUCCCAGCCUGACUGCCUAGACAGGUCCCGCAGGUUGCUGAAUGGCAGAGGUGCAGGCUGCUCCACAGCAAGAUGUGAGACCAGUGUGGCAGAGUAUGAUGUGUACACAAUGAGGGACACACUGUAGCCAACCCAGUAGAUUACCCGUGCUGCAGUGCUGAUUGGGUCCUCACCUUGUUGUAGGAGAGCUGACAACAUGUACCAGCCAGCAGCAACUCCCAUGCUAACAGGCUUCUCCCCCGUGGGUAUGUAGCACCUCUGGAGUCGCUCGAUGAAGAAGAGGAUGCUGGCGAGGCCUGUCGUGUUAGCCGGGAUGCGCCGGUACAGAGCUGUGUCCGUUGGGGUUGUGUAGGCAAGCAUCUUCUUGGCAAGGUCCUCGUAGGUGGCCGCAAACAGUUUACGGCUGUGGGAUGAGAACUUGUCUUGUGAAUGUGACGUUGGGAGGAGGGAAGCACAGGGGAGGAGGAGGACGAGGAGGAAGAGAGUGAAGAGUCACAAGAGGAGGAGGAAGGUGGAAAGAAAGAGGAAGGAGAGGAGGAGGAGGAGGAGGAGGAGGAGGAAGAUGGAGAAGGAAAGGAGAAAGAUAAGAAGGAAGGCAAUGUAGAAUGGAGGCGUCCUUGGUUUAUGUUCAGUAAAGCCCCGUAUUCUUGUCAUGGCAAUGUAGAAUGGAGGCGUCCUUGGUUUAUGUUCAGUAAAGCCCUGUAUUCUUGUCAUGGCAAUGUAGAAUGGAGACGUCAUUGGUCACAUACUGUUCUAAUGUAUGUGCACUUGCCACGCUGUUCACCAGGCAAAAGGCGUUGCAGAAAGAGCGCGAGAUCACUGUGUUGUGGGAGAAGACAGAGUCCCUUAGUGGUCAGCUGGUGACGGUCCACAACCACAGCCACUUUGAAGAGAAUGGCCUGAGCCACGACCACCUUGCUCAAGAAAAUAUCACGUUGACAGAGCUGAUUAAACAACUAGAAGAUAAGCUCAAACUUUCAAAGGUACAGAUACCAAGGGGAAAUUGCUGGGUCAAGUGGCUACACUGACAUCUGAGGUUAGCAGGUUGGAGAGUGAGUGCAGCAGUCUUCAGGUUCAGCUAGACUGUGAGAGGGAUAAGUAUAACAAACUGCUGGGAGAAUCUCUUGCUCAUGAAAAGUUGUCUGAAGAUGUCAUAACUGAACCAAAAGGAGAAACAACAGGAUUGGGAGGAACUGAGCUUUAACAGAAGCUGCAACAACUGCAGGAGGCUCACAGGGUCCUGGAGAGCAGGUUAACUUGCAGCAUGAAGGAGGUGGCUGAGCUGAGUGACAGGAAGUAGCAGCUUGAGCAUGCUGUAGUGCAUGAGGAGACAGAGUCCAUCGGUGACUACAUCACCAUCUACCAGUUGCAGCGAGGAGUGAUGAAGCAACAAGCUCGAGAACGCGAGUUAGACCUUGCCAGCCUCCAUCAUGAAUGAGAGGAAAUGAAGCAAAACCACUCUGCAGGAUUUGAUAUCAAAGCUGGUGCAGGAAAAGGAAGCAGAUCAUGACCUUCAGCAGCUCGAGAAGAUAAGCAGCGUCCUUAUAUAUAUGUUAUAUAAAUAUGUUCCUUUCACUAUAAUAUAUUAUAUGUAUUAAAAACUGCAUGGAAUACUACUGUAUUCCAUGCACUUUGUAUUCCAUGUAUUCCAGCCACUCAGUCUCCUACUGAGUGGCUGGGGUUUUCCAAAAGUGAGGGUUGGUGUUCUAUACCAUACCAUGUGCCCUGUUUGUAUUCCUUCUCUAUCCUCUGUAUUAUAUUCUAUGUAAAGAUGGUGCUGUGGUGGGAUCUACUUCUUAUUCCCUAAAAGUGAUGAGGAGUGACACUGGGCAGCAUUAAUUUGCUCCUUAGAGAUGGCUGGGUUCCUGUGGAUGAGUGGGCCAUGCUGUGCUUUGUCAAGGAUGGUGUUUGGUAUUGUGAUGACUCUUGCCACAAUCAAGUGUCUCCCACAGAGUAGUGGAGUACCUAUGUAUGGUGUUGACCCAAGCUGUCCAGGUCUCAUCCAAUGCCUUAAUAUGAUUUAGAUGAUCAAAAUGGUUUAACUCACCAUUUAAUCAGCUGACUGAUUUGAAUGGAGAAGUAUGUAAUGUGUUGUAGCCUAACCAUCCCUGCCAGCAUGGUCAGACUCUUGGUAGUAACCUGAAAUGCUCCUAGGUAGUGAGUAUCAUUGCACAUAAUGAUCUUUACUUUGUCAGUAAUUCAAUGAUACUGAAUAUUACUCUACUGGAUUUUGCUCAGCACUGCUUGGUAACUUUUGGCCAUAAUCCCAGGUCUGGAAUGAUAUGAAGCCAUGUUUUUACAUUCCAUAUGAGACAGGCAAGCACUAUGCUUUGCCUGACUGAUACCUGUACUUUGCAUUUAUGACCCCAGGUAGUUCAUCACUCUCUCUCUCUCUCUCUCUCUCUCUCUCUCUCUCUCUCUCUCUCUCUCUCUCUCUCUCUCUCUCUCUCUCUCUCUCUCUCUCUCUCUCUCUCUCUCUCUCUCUCUCUCUCUCUCUCUCUCUCUCUCUCUCUCUGUUUGGAAUUAUACUGUAUAUUAGGAAAUAUCAUUAAAGAGUGUGUGUGUAAAAAGUGUUUGCAUUAUUGUGCAUUUGAUGUUGGUUUCAUGAUUUAUAAAGAUUGCUAUUUUUAAUAAAGUUAUUGAAAUUGUUA